UUUUGAAAUUCUCUUGUUUUUCUAAAGGUCUGUUACUUAGGAGGUGAUGCACAUUGAGCAUUAUUUUGUCCUGCGCAUGAAUUAACCUAUCUGUCAUUAUCAAAGGUCCUUCCCUAUCCCUGGUGUGGAGAUGGUGUGGUUCUGACCCUGCUUCGUCUGAGAUUCGUAUAGCCACUGCCGGUUUCAUGUGCUUGAUCUCUGCACGAUAUUUGACGAUCUCCUCUGGAAAAACAAGGGAGAAAGCCAGCCAGAGGAGCGACGGGAUCCAGCAGUGGCCCUGACCCGGAAGAAGGAGGAGCAGAGGUGGCGGCAGAAACAACGGAAUCCGACUCUGUAUGCUCCCGGAAAUUGCUUCUUUUGUUCAACAUAAUGUAUGUGGUGUUUAUCCACAUUGACGCAGGCUGGCUUCUGAGAGAGCAGCAAUUUAAGCCUCUCAUUCUCCGAAUAAAUGGCCUGCUACCAGUCGCCUGGCCAAACACAUCACGUGAGUAGCACUGUUUGAUGGUGCCUGAGGGCCCGAGGACCGACCCCUCCCAGCACACCCCACAGCACACCCAGGUCCUGCCUGGGCUCCCAGUUUGCGGGGAAACAUUGGGAAGGGGUUGCCAUCUCCCUUUGAUGGCCUUUCAUCCCACAGCCCUGGGCACAGGCCUCUUUGUGCAAUGGCUGUAUUAUGUACCCCCGACCCAGAAGUCUCUGUUUCCUCACAUUUAAAAGGAGUGGAUGGUGUCACCUGAUCUCUGAGCUCACUCCUGUCUCCAGGAGUCCAGGCGCAACAGCUCCCGCCCUCCUACAGCCCCCUGUCUGCAUCUCUUCCAGCACCACCUUCUCUGCCCCUCAGUGCUCACCACUCCUGUCACUUUCCUGGCAGCUGUGCAUUUCCCUCGGAGGCUCAGGACCCCCUCGUCCCUAGCCCUCUCCGGAGACCACAAUUCAAGAUGACUCAAGGGCAGUUCACCGGAAGACAGAGCAUCUCGGUUUCAAAAUCAUCAGCAUUGGGAACAAGCUGAUCUCUAAGGAACAUGCUCCCCGUGCUGCUCUCCAUGCAACCACAUCCUAAAGCCAAUCUCCCCACAGGCCUCGUCCUUGAAAGGGACCAGCCACAGACGAGAACUACGUUCAGGUUUGCUCCUUCUCUGGGUUUCCAUGGAGAGAAUUUAGCUGGAUGGAGGCAUCAGUCCGGUUUCUCCAGAGAAAUAGAACCAAUAGAAUAUAAAUAUAUGAAGAAGUUUAUUUGACGGAAUUGCCUCCCGCGAUUGUGGGGGCUGCUAAGUCCAGAAUCUGCAGGGCAGGUCAGCAGCUGGAAACUCGGGAAGGAGUCGAUAUUGAAGUCUCGAGGCAGAAUUUCUUCUUCUCUGGGAAACCUCAGUGUUUGCUCUUAAGGCCUUUAACUGAUUGGGUGAGGCCCACCCACAUCCUGGAGGGCCACCUUUAUUUGACCACAUCUGCAAAAUACUCUCACAGCAACACCCAGAUCCGUAUUUGAUUAAAUCACCAGGUACUAGGGUCCAUCCAAGCUGACACCUAAGCCAACCAUCAUACUUGUUUGAAAAGCCCCCUCGAGGAUGGCAGGAUGGCAGCAAAUGCUCAGGACCAGCUUCCAUCCGACAGGGCGGCACUUGCUUGGACAUAAAUGCAGGACUGAGCUGCACAAUCAGUGUGGUGGUUCCUCGGCUUGGAUGCAUCUCCCUUGAAUUGUACAGAUGCUGGGACAGACUUUACAAGCCAGAGUCGACUAGUUUCCAUGGGACUUGGUCAAAGAAGAGAUUCCAAGUGUAGAAAGUUGCUACCGUUUCUCUUUUGGCUCUAAAAUAGCAUUAGAAGGAGUUACAGUGAUGUUACCUGGGAACUGGCUGACGGAAGCUGGGUUUUGACGUUUGGUACUUAAAUUCAAAUGAUUCCCAAGCUGUUUAUAUUUAGGGAAUUAUUUUUCCUGCCAAGGUAAUUGCUGUGGCUGGUUUCGUGUGUGGAGGGCUUGGACCAUAUCCUGUAUGGCGUGAUCCCAAGGAGCACUGGGAAAAGCCACUUCUUUCACAGUGUUUUUUUCUGUUCACCUGUCAUAGACCCUGAAAUUCCACAGGUGGAGAUUCAUUCUUCAGCAUCAACUCCUUGAACAGUUACAAGGAAAAUACCCUGAAACUUUGCACACAGCAAGGUCCUGAUUUGCUUUGGAGAGGAUUGUGUGGGAUUUUCCCGGUAGUGAAGGCUGUGAAAUCAUUCUUGGGUGGGGCCUGACUGGACACCCUCCCUGAGAACAGGAAGUAGGAGGUAGGAAGAAAGAGAAGGAUCGGGAGAAAGGUAUCUGGAAGACAAUGCAAGAAGGUGAGUGGGCAGAAGAGAGAUGCCCCGGGGUAGCUACUGGCACAAGACUAUUCGAGUAAGAACAUGGAAGAUGGAUCUUCUGUAGUGUAACAGUUGCCGUGAGCCUAACAAAUCAGGACUUCCCUCUGUUUACUGGAUGUACACUCCACUCCACGGCGCUUGGACUCAGGAUGAUCUCCUACUCCUGGCAUGACCAACUCAUCCUGGUUGCCUGGGACUUUCCCAGUUCCAACACUGAAGGUCCUUUGAUCAGGGAGUGCUCUCACUCCUGGACAAACGCGGAUGUUUGGUCACCCUCCAUUCCACCAUCACCAUGGAAGCUGAGGAGGGAAUUUCUUUUGUGAAUUUACCAAAGGGGGAUACUUUGCCAGGCAAACUUGAGUUUGGGGUGCGAGGACUGAGACCCUAAAGGCAGACAAGAGCUUGAGACACCAGGAGCUCAACAGGAAAUCACUAACCUCCUUGAUUGGUCUUCUGGGCGGACAGCACAUGUUCAAUGCCUCCUAUGAGCUAAAUACAGGUCACAGGAAACCACAUGCAUGUGCUGGCAUGUUGGCGCUGUCUAUACCCUCUUCGGGAGGAGGCUCGGUCUAGUGCUCAGAACGGCUGAGGGUCAGCAGACCUGGGCUUUUGUCUUGGCUCAUCCAUUAAAUUACGUGUGACCGUCAGUAGUCCUUUUGUCUCCCCUCAAUUUCCUCAUCUAUAAAAUGUGGGGUUUUGUGUCAGGUGUCACAUCCACUGCCGGUAUGAACAAUCCCUGCAUCUUUCCCCUCUAGAACACAAUGGAAGGGCCUCAGAAGGGCGGGAAAGACACCGUCACCACAGGUAAGGAUCUGGUGGAGCUCUUCGCGACACUUGGGGCCACAAACUCAGCACUGGGCAAGCAAACCUCCCACCUUGCAGUGAAAGGCACAGGACUAGAGUCACCCCAAGACAAAGCAAAUGCAUUUCCCCAGGAAACACAACCUAUUAGACUGUUUGCUGUCGUGCUGUCCUUGGUGAAGGUAAGUUUCUCCAGAUAAAACCCUGUCAUCUUGUACAACAGAGACCGGGCACGGAUGGGAGGAGUGGAAAGGAGAGUAUGAACAUCUCAGUGGUUGUAGGAAGCGCUGAGCAUCAAAUAGCAGCUUGAGGCCUUCAGGGUGGGAACUGAAUAGAGAGAAAUUUCCAGAAAGGGUGGCAAAAUUCGGCAGUCCCAAAAGGAAAGGUCCCAAGGGCUCUGGCCAGCUGGGGUAGUUUAUUCCACUAGCCCCAUGUGGGUUCUCUCAGGUCUCUACCUGAGAGGGAGUC